rnacentral:rRNA from 1 species
AUUGAACGCUGGCGGCAGGCCUAACACAUGCAAGUCGAACGAGUGGCGGACGGGUGAGUAAUGUCUGGGAAACUGCCCGAUGGAGGGAGAUAACUACUGGAAACGGUAGCUAAUACCGCAUACCAUCGGAUGUGCCCAGAUGGGAUUAGCUAGUAGCUGGGGUAAAGGCGCACCUAGGCGACGAUCCUUAGCUGGUCUGAGAGGGUGACCGGCCACACUGGAACUGAGACACGGCCCAGACGCCUACGGGAGGCAGCAGUGGGGAAUAUUGUGCAAUGGGCGCAAGCCUGAUGCAGCCAUGCCGCGUGUGUGAAGAAGGUUUUCGGGUUGUAAAGUACUUUCAGCGGGGAGGCGUUACCCGCAGAAGAAGCACCGGCUAACUCCGUGCCAGCAGCCGCGGUAAUAC